rnacentral:rRNA from 1 species
GAUGAACGCUGGCGGCGUGCUUAACACAUGCAAGCCGAACGGUGAAGGCGGAGCUUGCUCUGCUGGAUCAGUGGCGAACGGGUGAGUAACACGUGAGCAAUCUGCCCCUGACUCUGGGAUAAGCGCUGGAAACGGCGUCUAAUACUGGAUACGAGCUGCGAAGGCAUCUUCAGCAGCUGGAAAGAAUUUCGGUCAGGGAUGAGCUCGCGGCCUAUCAGCUUGUUGGUGAGGUAAUGGCUCACCAAGGCGUCGACGGGUAGCCGGCCUGAGAGGGUGACCGGCCACACUGGGACUGAGACACGGCCCAGACUCCUACGGGAGGCAGCAGUGGGGAAUAUUGCACAAUGGGCGAAAGCCUGAUGCAGCAACGCCGCGUGAGGGACGACGGCCUUCGGGUUGUAAACCUCUUUUAGCAGGGAAGAAGCGAAAGUGACGGUACCUGCAGAAAAAGCGCCGGCUAACUACGU